AUUGAACGCUGGCGGCAGGCCUAACACAUGCAAGUCGAGCGAGCGGCGGACGGGUGAGUAAUGUCUGGGAAACUGCCUGAUGGAGGGGGAUAACUACUGGAAACGGUAGCUCAUACCGCAUACCAUCAGAUGUGCCCAGAUGGGAGUAGCUAGUAGUUGGGGUAACGGCUCACCUAGGCGACGCUCCCUAGCUGGUCUGAGAGGAUGACCAGCCAUACUGGAACUGAGACACGGGCCAGACUCCGACUGUAGGCAGAGUUGGGGAAUAUUGCACAAUGGGCGCAAGCCUGAUGCAGCCGUGCCGCGUGGGUGAAGAAGGCCUGCGGGUUGUAAAGCACUUUCAGCGGGGAGGCGUUACCCGAAGAAGAAGCACCGGCUAACUCCGUGCCAGCAGCCGCGGUAAUAC
rnacentral:rRNA from 1 species